CCCUUAGAUGUCCGGGGCUGCACGCGCGCUACACUGAAUGAAUCAGCGUGCUAGAAAACCUUGUUUGACAUGGCUAGGUAACCCAUUGAAAAUCAUUCGUGAUUGGGAUCGGGACUUGCAAAUGUGUCCCUUGAACGAGGAAUUCCCAGUAAGUGCGGGUCAUCAGCUCGCGUUGAUUACGUCCCUGCCCUUUGUACACACCGCCCGUCGCUGCUACCGAUUGAAUGGUCCGGUGAAGUGUUCGGAUCGAGGCGACAUGGGCGGUUCGCUGCCUGUGACGUUGCGAGAAGUCCACUGAACCUUAUCAUUUAGAGGAAGGAGAAGUCGUAACA
rnacentral:rRNA from 1 species